rnacentral:rRNA from 1 species
UGGGGAAUUUUGGACAAUGGGCGAAAGCCUGAUCCAGCAAUGCCGCGUGUGUGAAGAAGGCCUUCGGGUUGUAAAGCACUUUUGUCCGGAAAGAAAUCCUUGGCUCUAAUACAGUCGGGGGAUGACGGUACCGGAAGAAUAAGCACCGGCUAACUACGUGCCAGCAGCCGCGGUAAUACGUAGGGUGCAAGCGUUAAUCGGAAUUACUGGGCGUAAAGCGUGCGCAGGCGGUUUGCUAAGACCGAUGUGAAAUCCCCGGGCUCAACCUGGGAACUGCAUUGGUGACUGGCAGGCUAGAGUAUGGCAGAGGGGGGUAGAAUUCCACGUGUAGCAGUGAAAUGCGUAGAGAUGUGGAGGAAUACCGAUGGCGAAGGCAGCCCCCUGGGCCAAAUACUGACGCUCAUGCACGAAAGCGUGGGGAGCAAACAGGAUUAGAUACCCUGGUAGUCCACGCCCUAAACGAUGUCAACUAGUUGUUGGGGAUUCAUUUCCUUAGUAACGUAGCUAACGCGUGAAGUUGACCGCCUGGGGAGUACGGUCGCAAGAUUAAAGCUCAAAUGAAUUGACGGGG